CAUGUGCAGAUAAACAGCACAAUCACUUCAGUCCAUCAGCAGUUUUUCAACUGGAAGCUCUCCCUGAUGUGUUGGUGUCUUUCAGGGAAUUUCUGUCUCUCUUCCUGUAGAAGUAUGAAGUGUGUUCAGGAACUGUUGAUGCUGCUGUUGAACCACCAGCUGUUGAAGAGCCUGUGUGCUCUGAGGAAGAGGAGCCGACUGCGUACGGCCCAGCGGCCGGUGAUGCCG